GGCUAUGCCUCAAUUGAUAAAGUGAACUAAUUGCCUACUUCAAAAGCAGUUUUGCAUGAAAGUCAACAUCUAAUUGGAAUUUACAAUGCCCGAUAUUUCUACACAUCUGCCACAAAUUUUAUGGAAAACAAUAUUUAUAGAAACUGAACAUACCUUGGUUAAACGUAUAUGAAAUGAGUAACCAUCCUCGAAGAACAUCAACCAGCUGUCGGCAACAUGCAGGUUGACUGAGGAAUCCCCAGUGCGUGGUCACGGACCGUUCCCCAUAUAUCUACUGACUUCAUAUAAAUGAAAGUGUACUAAAGGCUCACUGAUCUACACUACCAGCUCAUGCUCAACGUUACUGAACAACAAAGUAAUCCGACAAUCAGACUGGACCCGGUCAUGUUAGAUACCAGAGGAAGACGAAAAUAUAAUUGAUUCUGUACUGAUGCAUGACUUCGCUCGGAACGCGGCAAGAAUUAACAAUGGAAGAAAAUACUACAGACGUGUUUAUUAACAAUAAAGUUAUUUUUGUUUUUAUGAAAUAGCGAUUGAAUAAAAAUAUUAGG